UACAGAGGUCUCAAGCGUUGUUCGGAUUCAUUGGGCGUAAAGGGUGUGUAGGCGGCGCCGUAAGUCGGGUGUGAAAUCUCGGGGCUUAACUCCGAAACUGCAUUCGAUACUGCGGUGCUUGAGGACUGGAGAGGAGACUGGAAUUCAUGGUGUAGCAGUGAAAUGCGUAGAGAUCAUGAGGAAGACCAGUGGCGAAGGCGGGUCUCUGGACAGUUCCUGACACUGAGACACGAAGGCCAGGGGAGCAAACGGG
rnacentral:rRNA from 1 species